UACGGGGGGGGCAAGCGUUGUUCGGGAUUACUGGGCGUAAAGGGCUCGUAGGUGGCCAACUAAGUCAGACGUGAAAUCCCUCGGCUUAACCGGGGAACUGCGUCUGAUACUGGAUGGCUUGAGUUCGGGAGAGGGAUGCGGAAUUCCAGGUGUAGCGGUGAAAUGCGUAGAUAUCUGGAGGAACACCGGUGGCGAAGGCGGCAUCCUGGACCGACACUGACACUGAGGAGCGAAAGCCAGGGGAGCAAACGGG
rnacentral:rRNA from 1 species